CCUUAUUACCUUUCCCCUACCCUUCCCACUUUCCCUACACCUUUAGCCCUUUUCUUCCCAUUUCACAAUGUCCGGUAUCUCAUUAGGAUCUUAUGUACUAUUACAGUUUAUUCACACCAGAGAAACUAUUCGGUAUUUCCACAUGUGUGACAUAUUUAUUUCACUUAGGAGUCUAUCCUCAAUAUGGAUCCAUUUUUGGGUGUGCUAGAUAAUAUAGUUAUCCAGCGUACUGUCUGCGCCCUUUAGGGAAUCCCAGUCUGCCGGAGAGAUGAAGCAGAGACACAGACUCCCAGCCUCCUGGAAUCGGGACAGGACGCACAGGCGGGGUCACAGUCUGACACGGUCCGGAGGAGGCCCCGGAGGCAGAGGCAGGCACACGCUUGCAGCAUCAUUCCGGCCUCAGAAGGAAAGCCCAUUGCACAAGAGGGAGUGUGGAUCCCGAGCCACCACACCCAGGUCAGAUGUGUUAUUUGCAGCGUCUCCACCUCAGCACAUGCUGGGGGCUCUGCCUCUGCUCCUCUGGGUCCACACCUUGGUCACCUUGUGCAGCCUCUGGCCUUAAAUACCUGUGUGUGCUGCUCACCUCGGGGCGUGGCCUUGCCUGACCCCUCUCCCUGGACUGCUCUUCUGCUUGGGUUCAGGUGGCCCCCUUGCCUCCUGCAUCAAGCUUUUCUUCUCCACCAGGCCGCCUCUGGAGCUCCAGACGCUUCUUGUCUGAUGUCUCAACCUCAGGUGAACAGAUCUGAAACUGAUCUUAUCCUCCAGCUAACUUUUCACCCCUUCAUCCUCCCGCUCACCCAUGCUAUUAAACCCUAAAAUUGAAGCCAGGUGUGGUGGCACAUGUCAGUCGUCCCAGGUCCUGGGAGGCUGAGGCAGGAGGAUCUCUGUCAGUUCAAGGCCAGCCUGGGCUACACAGUGAGCUCAAGUCCAGCCUGAACUACC
rnacentral:lncRNA from 1 species